GUCUCUUAAGAGACAUUGAUAAAAUUGGAAAAAUACAGAGAAGAUUAGCAUGGCC
rnacentral:snRNA from 1 species